rnacentral:lncRNA from 1 species
CUUAGAAAGUAGCUUUGCCCAAGUCCUGGACCUAGGUUUAGCACGCUCCCUCUGGAUUUAAUUCUAAUCUCUAACUCCUCAGUGCCAUUCAGCUGCUGAAAUCUCUGCUCAGCAUUCAAGCUUUCUGUUUGCUGUUUCCCACUACAUAUCUUGAAGGCUUGCCUUGUACAUGCACAAGUCAGAAAUUUACCCACAAUUUGAGGGAAAUUAGGAUGCAGAUUUGGGGACACUCUCUUAGCUUCCUGUCUUUUUCAAUAGUUUGCUCCUCAAAUCACAGCUCCUUUGGCGUCCUGAAACGCCAGACUUUGUCUCCUCUGACGUGUGAAACUCCUGCUUUCUUCUUGGGCUCUUUUCGCCUUCACCACAACUUGGAAAAUGCCCCCAGGAAAAUUCCGAGGUUCUCAGGGUGGCAGAUGAGGAAGAAGGUGGAGAACAGGAUAGAAAUGAAAUUUUGAGAAGGGAGUCCAGCCUAGAAGGUAGGAUCCUGUAAGUCCCUUGACUGCUAGGCCAUUGUAUAUCAUUUUAACUGCUACUUCCAAAGUGUUUUCACAAUGUCUCUCACAUGAUAGUUGCUCC